rnacentral:lncRNA from 1 species
AUGCCAGUGUUUUUCCACAUGCAUGAUCCUUUUACAUUUCACCUUCCAAACGACAGGCUGAAAGAUCCCUCCCACGUGGAUGAAUUGACCCGUGCCAUGGAUUCAGAGGAGCCCCGUGAUGAUUUAUCUCACCUCCCGGGUGACCUUCCUCUUCCUCUCAUCAUCAUCCUCAUCUUCACCAUCAUCUCAUCAUGGUUAUCAAUGUCAUCAGCGUGGGUUGAAUGGUUGCCCGAAUGGAAAGUUCCAGUCCUGAUGCAUGGAAACUGUGAGUGUGACCUUAUUGGGAUACAGGGACUUUGCCUAGGUCAUCAAGCAAAGGUGAGACUGUGCUGGCUUGGGGUGUCAUGGAGCCAGGUCUUCCUAAGAGGAGGGGGGGCGGCAAGUUGGAGACAGAGACAGAGAGGACACCCACAGGGACCGGGCCAUGUCAUGAUGGAGGUGGAGACUGGUAUGGCGCUGUCACAAACCAAGCGAUGCCACAGGUUACCAGCAGCCUCCAGCAGCUACAGGAAGCAAGGGAGGACUCUCCCCUAGCACCUUUGCAGGAAGUGUGGCUCUGCAGACACCUUGGUUCCAAAUUUCUAGCCUCUGGAACUGUGGGUGACAAACUGUUGUGUUUCCUUAUCUAAUUUUAAUUAACAAAUGAUCAUUGUGUAUAUUUAUGGGGUGCAUGGGAUGUUUUGAUCUAUGUGGACAUUAUUGAAAGACUCAAGAAAGCUGAUUAACCUGUCUGUCACCUCACCCAUUCAGCAUUUCUUUUGUGGAGACAGUGUUAAACACCUAUUCUUUUAAUAAGUUUGAAAUGCAUGGGAUGUGGCUGUUAAGUGUGGUCACAGUGCAAUGUCCCAGGUCGCUGGAAUGUAUCCCUCCUGUCUAACUGGGACUUGCUACCCUUGAUCAACAUCUCCCUUUUCCCAUCCCUCCCACUCCUCCCCAGCCUCUGCUGAGCACAUUUCUCCUCUCAGUUUCUGUGAGAUCAGCUUCUUUAGAUUGAGAUCCAAGCUUGUUUCACUUAGCAUAAUAUCCUCCAGAUCCAUCCGUGGGGUCAGAAUGGACAGUCUCCUUUAUUAAGGCCGUAUAGUAUUCCAAUUGUGUGUAUGCCACGUUCUCCUUAUUUAUUCAUCAUUGAUGGGCACUUAGGUUGCUGUCGUAUCUUGGCUACUGUGAGCAGUACUGAAAUGAACAUGAGAGUGCAGGUGUCUCUUCAACACACCAAUUUUAACCAUUCUGGAAAGUAGUAUAGAGAGCUCUCAAAAAACCUAAAAAUAGAACCUGAUGUGAUUCAACAGUUUCACGUCUGGGUACAGGUCCGCAGUUCUGUGUUUGAAAGCCACCCGCUCUGUGGCAAUAUUUUACAGCAGGCGUAGGAGACUAACACAGCAUUAUCACCAUCUAAUCAAUCUUUAUGUUGCAGUAUCACAGUAUUUAUCGUAUUAUCAUGAUGGGAACUAGUAUUUACAUGUAGCGAGGGAAACUAAUGUUUGGGAAACUCUAGCUUCAUCUCAUUUUACAAUGAGAAACUUAAGAAUGAGGGUAGCUAUGAUCCAAAUGUUUAUGUCCCCUCAAAUUGAUAUAUUAAAAUCCUAACCCCAGUGGUGAUGGUACUAGGAGGUGUAGUUUUAGGAGGUAAUUAGAUUAUGAGGGUAGGGCUCUCAUAAUUGGCACUAUUACCCUUUCCAAAGAGACCUCCAGAAAGCCCUUUGCCCCUCCCAGUAGAAGAGGAUAUAGAGAGAAGGUGCUAUGAACCAGAAAUCCAGCCAUCAGGAGCAGCAGAUCCACGAGCAACCUGACCUGGGGCUUUCCGCCCUCCAGGAGUGUGAGAAAUAAGCAUCUGUUGAUUAUAAGCCCAGCUUAUGCUAUUUUGCUAUAGCAGUCGACAGAGAGCACACACUUGACUCUAAGUCAUAGAAUGGAUGUCGGGUCACAUCUGGACUUGUAACUCAGCUCUCCUCCCCUGCACUCUUAAUAAUAAGCCAUGGAAUUUUAACUAUCAAUGUCUCAGAGAUCACCUAGUCCAAAUCCUUCCUGGGGAAACUGAGGUUCCACAAGAAGUGACUUGCCAACGUCACUAAGAAAGCUACUACAUUUUUCCUACACGCAAAAGCCCCCAAAUUACCCAGCGAUCUUUGUGAAAUAAUAGGUGAUGCUGCCCCUAGUGGCAGAGAUCUGCAAACACACACGACCACAGCACAGACAUCAUCCACAUUUUUUUUUUUUACAGAUGGAAGAUGAUUUAUUUCACAGCACACACAUUUUAAAGGUAAAUUUCCUAACAAAAAUAAUGAGCCACAGACCACACAGAUUCUCAGCAGGAAAGUAAGGUUAAUUCUUUAAUAUAUUAGAUUUAAGUUUAUGAUUACUCUAACUUUGCUAUGGAACAUUAAUCAUCAAUAGUAAAGUAUUUCUUUGAGCUGAUUUUAUAUAUUUUUUCUGGGAUAAUGCAAUAUUACUGCUCACUUAGAGCUAACAAUUUUCUAUUGAAUUUUAAUACACUGUAAAAAUAUAUUUAAAUAAACCAGAAGUAAUAUUUCUCCUGACA